GGAGAGGUAAGUUUUAGACAUGGUUUAAUGAAGUCUCGAGAUCAAUAAUAGCUUGCCCAGGAGCCUGGUAAAUAACAGACUCUCUGGUCCCUAAUGGUUGAUGCUUAAAAGCAAAUGUAACGAUCUUCUGGUAAGGGAAAACACUGACCUAUAAACAUAAAUGUUACCUGAAAGAUCUUCUGUGCUUCAGUGAUUUUAGUUGUGAAGUGCAAAAUGUUUUGGUACACAAUGGUAUGUGCAUGGCAUGGUGGUCCCAUAAGAUUACAUUGCCUUGUGAUGUCAUAGGCAUUUUCAUUGAUGCAGCUACAUUCCAUGAUGUUCACAAUGAAACUGCCUAACAGCACAUUUAUGAGAAUACAUCCUUGUUGUGACAUGACUGUAUUUUGUUAAUUAAGAAAAAAAGAUUGCUUGUUUCUGAAACUUCUAAGGCAUACAGACUAGGCUUCUACAAAAAUUCCUGAAUAAUAACAGAUAAAAGGAAUUUCUUUUUCUCCAACUCAGAUGAGUAAUCCUCCUAGGCCUUCCACACAGGCUGGAGUUGGCCACGAACUAUUUUAUUCCACGCCUUUCCUCAGCCCUCGCUCAUCACAAGUACUUUUUUGAAAGUUGAGUUUUAUCUUAACUGGCAGAUUUCUAACAAUUAACUUUUCCAAAAGAGGAAGUUCUGUCUAAAUAAGGCCUGCCGGGUAGCCCAUAGAUUAGUAAUCAAGCAGUAGACGGUAUGUCCACUUUUGCUCAGCCGUUUAUUAGCUGAGCCUUGCUCAUUCUGAGUGACAUCUGGAGAUGACAAUUCCACUUCAUCAGGAUAUUGUGCAGAGACCUGAAAACUGCCACCUUUGCUACUUUAUAGGCUCCCAACAGAUGGCUGAGAUUCCAAGGAUUAAGGCCCAGAAAUUUGGUUACAUACUGUGUGUGAGGAAACAAGACUGAAAUGGAAAGAAGAAAUGCUGGAAUAAAUAAAUCUUGUGCUUGACUGGAUGUGGAGAUACCUGUGUAAACUCAUUGUUUUAGGUAAGUGGAUGCCUCAAGAUAGAUAGAUAUAAUGACAGAAACAAAUAAAUGCAUGAAG
rnacentral:lncRNA from 1 species